rnacentral:lncRNA from 1 species
ACUGGCACUGCCCCGUCUAUUAAGAAAGAUGAACGCUCCUUUCUCUUCCAUCUCCUUCAUGGGAGACCACUUUUCAUUUCAGAUUAUCACAUCAAUAAAUAUUCUUCGAGGAACAAAAAAGGCACUUUGCCAAAAGAUAAAAGAAUAUAUGUGAAAUGUGUGGACUGUAGAGAAAGGCACUACACGAAGGCAAAAGAAUAGAAGCACAUAUGUAAAUAACGCACAUAAUCACAUCAAGAACACAAAACACAAGGGCAGAUACAGACAGGGCACCCGGAGAGAACGUGGGCUGCUCCCAAGGUCCUCAGAGUCUGCAUGCUUCCCACACGCAGAGGCACACACCCGC